rnacentral:lncRNA from 1 species
AAGGAUAGGGAGAUGGGGAAGAGGAAAAUGAUAAGAUGGGGAGAUAGGGAAGAAGAGAUGAGGAGGGAGUCAGAGUGUGUGAAUCCCGCACGUAAAAGGUAUUCGGAUCUACCGUGUAACUUUGUUUUUUUCCUUAGCGCGGAUGACCCUACCAUCCAUCCUUUGGAAUAGAUUUCUUGGCACGGGUCAUGGAGCGAGCCACACCUGAAUAUAGCCAUUAUUGUUAGGCCCGGCUCAUCACAUGACCCACACUCUAGAAAAUCCAUCUGUAC